ACGGAAGGCAGCAGUGGGGAAUAUUGGGCAAUGGGCGAAAGCCUGACCCAGCAACGCCGCGUGAAGGAAGAAGGUCUUCGGAUUGUAAACUUCUUUUAUGAGGGACGAAGGACGUGACGGUACCUCAUGAAUAAGCCACGGCUAACUACGUGCCAGCAGCCGCGGUAAUACGUAGGUGGCAAGCGUUAUCCGGAUUUACUGGGUGUAAAGGGCGCGUGGGCGGGAAGGCAAGUCAGGUGUGAAAUCUAUGGGCUUAACCCAUAAACUGCACUUGAAACUGUCUUUCUUGAGUGCUGGAGAGGUAGACGGAAUUCCUUGUGUAGCGGUGAAACGCGUAGAUAUAAGGAAGAACACCAGUGGCGAAGGCGGUCUACUGGACAGUAACUGACGCUGAGGCGCGAAAGCGUGGGGAGCAAACAGGAUUAGAUACCCUGGUA
rnacentral:rRNA from 1 species